rnacentral:rRNA from 1 species
GGGACACGUGGUAUCCUGUCUGAAUAUGGGGGGACCAUCCUCCAAGGCUAAAUACUCCUGACUGACCGAUAGUGAACCAGUACCGUGAGGGAAAGGCGAAAAGAACCCCGGCGAGGGGAGUGAAAAAGAACCUGAAACCGUGUACGUACAAGCAGUGGGAGCCUCUUAAUGGGGUGACUGCGUACCUUUUGUAUAAUGGGUCAGCGACUUAUAUUCUGUAGCAAGGUUAACCGAAUAGGGGAGCCGAAGGGAAACCGAGUCUUAACUGGGCGUUAAGUUGCAGGGUAUAGACCCGAAACCCGGUGAUCUAGCCAUGGGCAGGUUGAAGGUUGGGUAACACUAACUGGAGGACCGAACCGACUAAUGUUGAAAAAUUAGCGGAUGACUUGUGGCUGGGGGUGAAAGGCCAAUCAAACCGGGAGAUAGCUGGUUCUCCCCGAAAGCUAUUUAGGUAGCGCCUCGUGAAUUCAUCUCCGGGGGUAGAGCACUGUUUCGGCAAGGGGGUCAUCCCGACUUACCAACCCGAUGCAAACUGCGAAUACCGGAGAAUGUUAUCACGGGAGACACACGGCGGGUGCUAACGUCCGUCGUGAAGAGGGAAACAACCCAGACCGCCAGCUAAGGUCCCAAAGUCAUGGUUAAGUGGGAAACGAUGUGGGAAGGCCCAGACAGCCAGGAUGUUGGCUUAGAAGCAGCCAUCAUUUAAAGAAAGCGUAAUAGCUCACUGGUCGAGUCGGCCUGCGCGGAAGAUGUAACGGGGCUAAACCAUGCACCGAAGCUGCGGCAGCGACGCUUAUGCGUUGUUGGGUAGGGGAGCGUUCUGUAAGCCUGUGAAGGUGGCCUGUGAGGGUUGCUGGAGGUAUCAGAAGUGCGAAUGCUGACAUAAGUAACGAUAAAGCGGGUGAAAAGCCCGCUCGCCGGAAGACCAAGGGUUCCUGUCCAACGUUAAUCGGGGCAGGGUGAGUCGACCCCUAAGGCGAGGCCGAAAGGCGUAGUCGAUGGGAAACAGGUUAAUAUUCCUGUACUUGGUGUUACUGCGAAGGGGGGACGGAGAAGGCUAUGUUGGCCGGGCGACGGUUGUCCCGGUUUAAGCGUGUAGGCUGGUUUUCCAGGCAAAUCCGGAAAAUCAAGGCUGAGGCGUGAUGACGAGGCACUACGGUGCUGAAGCGACAAAUGCCCUGCUUCCAGGAAAAGCCUCUAAGCAUCAGGUAACAUCAAAUCGUACCCCAAACCGACACAGGUGGUCAGGUAGAGAAUACCAAGGCGCUUGAGAGAACUCGGGUGAAGGAACUAGGCAAAAUGGUGCCGUAACUUCGGGAGAAGGCACGCUGAUAUGUAGGUGAAGCGACUUGCUCGUGGAGCUGAAAUCAGUCGAAGAUACCAGCUGGCUGCAACUGUUUAUUAAAAACACAGCACUGUGCAAACACGAAAGUGGACGUAUACGGUGUGACGC